UGCAAUCAUUGAUGCAUCUCCAACCGUAUGAUAUACUUGUGAUUAUUCAGUUAAUUAUCACCAUCUUUCGUCUGAGAUUGUG